CAAACACUUAAAAGACACACCCUCGUCCACUUACCCUCACCUUAUGCCCUUGGGGGGAAUCCCCAUCGCCAUCUUGGAGGGCGGUCCAAAUGAUUAGCCAAGCAAGGGAAGUUUGCAACGUAAGCCCCUCAGACCUCGUUUUUAGUCGGCUUUGCGAGUGUACAAUUACCUUCACUCCGGGGCCUGAAACUCCCCAUAAUUCAAUUUGCGACAAUUGUACAUCUGCUAAGAAAACUCUCAGAAAACUUAAAAACAACAUCAAUGGAGAAGUCAACAUACAAGUGAAGUCACAGUGCCAAAUAGGGUAACCCAUUGCCAAGCCAGUAUGGUACGCCCUCCUCCCAGCCGUAUUGGGUUUACUGAGGUCACUAUGAAGAGGAAAAGAUGAUGGGCACACGACACACAUCCGUAUCCUAUCCCCGCUCCAGCUCCAGCUCCAGUGUCUCUCCGUGUACAAUGCUGCCCAGAACAACAAGGAAAAAGCAACAGGGCCCAUCUGAUCUAGAAUCGAAUCUAGGCUUCAUCAUACUGUGAGGAAUUAGGACAAAAGUGGAGUUAUUUGUAUUAUACUGACUGAAAAUAAGUCAUCUUGCCCCUCUCAGUGGUCAGAAUUGGUACUGAAUUUAGGGAAAAAAGGCAGAUUUUUCCCUUCUUUAUUGAAGAUAUUCAGUUAAUAUCUCCCCUCUUCAGAUGAAGAUGUUGAGUGUGCCUUCACUGAUCCUGGCCCUAUGAUCUCAGUAGUAAGGGAAGUACGGUGGUCAGUCAACACUCUCAACAGUCUCUCCUAUUCAGACUAAUGCAAUUUCAGCCCUAAUCUGAUCAGUAAAGUGUCUGCUGGACUCCUGUCUUCCUGUCUGCAGGCUGCUAAUGGGCCUCCUGACUGGGGGUGUUAGCAUGAAGGAGAGGCUCUGUGACUGGACAGGACACAGGGGAAUUGACGUGACCUUCACAGACCUGAGAGGAGAAGAAGACAGGAGUUCCAGGAAUGAGAUAAAGAGAGCACAUACAUUCAGAGGAGAUCAGAGUCACAUGCAGCAGCCUCAAAGCAAAUGAGGGGUCUUCCGUAAUUAGAGCUGUCAAUUAAUGAGAUUAUAGGACAUGAGAGUGGUGCUUUUAGAUUCUAUGGGGGGGGGAGUACAUGAGGGUUUACUUUAUGGAUGAGAGUUUAUUCUAUAGUUGUGUUGAUUUUUAUAUGUUCUCUGUGAUUUCACUGAUAAUGGUUUACUGAGCCAAAGCAUGUAUUUAACACUUUUAAAACUGUAUGCAAACUUCAUCUAGGAGCAAACUUCUACUUAUUGUCACAAUGAUAUCCAUUUUCCCUUGUCAUCUUUUAUUAUUUCCUCUCUCUCGCUCUCUCUCCAUCAGGUGGUGCUGUGGUUUAAGUAUAUAUAUUUUUUAAAUCUACUCUUCACUGUUCAUUCAAUCCAUAAAACAGAACACCAGGCACUCUGCAUCAAUGUCAUCACAGACCCCGGUUAGGCACCAUACACACCUGAGCUUCAGUGUCACAACACAACAGGGCUGUGUUCCCAGCAGCCAUCUAUUCCAGAACUUCCUUGUGUAAAUACUGUAUAGUACUGGAUUUUACUUCCUGUCUGCGAUGGUGAUCAAAUGGAGUGCUGGAGCGACCAGAUGAUAGGCUUUAACUUUAUUAGUUUUCGUUUUUAAUAUACUGCCAGCACAGCUACAUGGAAAGUAAAGGAGACGCUAGAAGAGAAGAGAAAAAGAGGCGAGAGGAGAGAAGAGAAGAGAAAGGGAGGAGGGUAGUAGAGGAGAGAGUAGUAAGUGGAGGUAGGUCUGUACUCCUGUAGGAAACCUGUUCAACUUAAUGUUUAAUAAGCUACUGGUCACAGAGCCAGGGUAACUCGAUCCUCUCAGGAGACAAAUGGUGUGUGUUUCUCUGUGUGCGUUUCUUACGUGUGUAUGAAUGCAUAUAUAUGAUUCUAUGGCCUGUGUAAAUCAGAUACACCGUUGAUUAGCUGAUCCUAUACAGAUCUGUUGUUUAAGUCAUUGAUAGCUUUCCUCAUGAAUCCCUCCACCACACAGUCUCUGAGGAGGGGAAAGUGAUAAUAAAUGUUACCUCAUCAGCGGUAGUUUGACACAUCAUUUCACAUGAUUCAUUACUCUUCGCAGCCUGCUGCUCUUCCUGUCUCUCAGAGGUGAUAUGAUGAUUCAUCAUUUAGCAGCGAAAUACAAAUAUCAGACCUGGGACAAAUAUAGUGGGUAUCAUAAAUAUUCACGCCCCUUGGAUUUCUUUACAUUGUAUUGUGUUACAAAGUAGAUUCAAACAGAUUUAAGUCAUAAUUGUAACUAGGCCACUCAGGAACAUUCCCUGUCUUCAUGGUAAGCAACUCCAGUGUAGAUUUGGCAUUGUGUUGUAGGUUAUUGUCCUGCUGGAAGGUGAAUUACUCUCCAAGUGUCUGGUGUAAAGCAGACUGAAGCCGUCUAUCCCGUUUCUUUUUAUCCUGAAAAACUCCCCAGUCUUUGACGAUAUCAAGCAUACCCAUACCAUGAUGCAGCCACCCCCAUGCUGGACAAUAAGAAGGCAGUUUACUCAGUGAUGCGUUGUGUUGGAUUUGCCCCAAACAUAAGGCUUUGCAUUUAGGCCAAAAGGUGUGUUCCUUUGCUGUGUUUAUUUGCAGUAUUACUUUAGUGCCUUGUUGCAUGUUUUGGUGUAUUUUUAUUAUUUUUCUCUCUCUGUCAUUUAGGUCAUUAUUGUGGAGUCACAACAAUGUUGUUGAUUAAUCCUCCGUUUUUUCCCAUCACAGCCGUUGAACUCCGUAGCUGUUUUAAAAUCAUCAAUGGCCUCAUAGUGAUGUCUGUAUCUUUGAUGUGUCUGGGUGGUUUAAUACAUCAUCCAUAGCGUAAUUAUUAACUUGACCAUGCUUUAAGUGAUACCCAAUGUCUGAUUUGUUAUUCUUACUCAUUUAACAAUCACUGCCCUUCUUUACGAGGCUUUCGAAAAGCUCCCUGAUCUCUUUAGUUGAAUCUGUUCUUUAAAUGCAAUAGUUGACUGAGGGACCUUACAGAUGUUGUAUGUAUGGGGGACAGAGGAAGGGGUAGUCAUUUAAAAAUCAUGUCAACCUCUAUUAUUUCAGUCCAUCUAACUUAUUUUUUGACAUUUUACUCCUGAACUAAUUUAAGCUUGCCUUAACAAAGGGGGUGAGUACUUCUGCAAUGACUAUAUUUUUGUUAUUCUUGUAGAAAUGUGUAGAAUUUUCUUUUCACUUAGAAAUUAUGGAGUAUUUUGUGUAGAUCAAUUAUUUAAAAAAUCUAUUUUAAAUCUCUCAAAAUGUGUGAUUGACCUUAACAAUUUGGGCCCCAGGACCAGUGAAAGCAAGAUAGCCAUAUUUUAAAGUAUGGCUAUGUUGUACCUUUUUGCAUAUGCAUCUUUCUUUUGAUGCCAAACCCACCACUGGUGUGCAUGGCCAGUCUUUUGGGAGCCUGUCAUUUACUUACUUAGCUAGCCAGACAGUUUUAUUUAGCUAAUGUUAGCUGUUAUUGUAGCUUUCUGUUUGUAUGUAGCUUGCACUUCAAUGGCAUCCCUCUGUGGCUCAGUUGGUAGAGCAUGGUGUUUGUAAUGCCAGCAUGGUGUGUGCAACGCCAGGGUUGUGGGUUUGAUUCCCAUGGGGGGCCAGUACAAAACAAAAUGCAUGAAAAUGAAAUGUAUGCAUUCACUACUGUAAGUCGCUCUGGAUACGAGCGUCUACUAAAAUGUAAAUGUAAUCCCUCGAGGAGAUUGUCUUUUAUAUUUCCAACCAGGUGAAGUACUAUGAAGGCAUCACUGAUCUCGACAAGAGGCGUAACAUUCAGAAAAUUUUACAAUUCAGGGCAAUCAUAUCUACCUUACGGGGGAAGGAUGGCCAGCCACACAGGAGGGUGAUGUUUACUAAGGAGGAGAAGGAGGCUGUGCUGACCGAGAUGCAUGCUGGCCAUUUCGGAGUGAAGCACAUGAUUGCCAAAAUCAACCUACGAUUCUUCAUUUUUAUUUAUUUCACCUUUAUUUAACCAGGUCAGAUCGCCUUCGUGGACCACCUUCAGGCACCGACUAAGAAGGAUGUGGAGGAUGUGGAGGUGAGACUGAACAUCAUCAAGGCGAAGGAAAAACAGAAGGAGAGCUAGGGGACCAAGUGCUACUACAUCUGGGGAAAUUACUUGGUUUGGAAGAAGAACGAAAGGAAGCCGAGACCUGGGAAACCUCGCUGCUCUUUCACUCCUAGCUGGGGUCACCAUCUGUUAAGGGUUACCUCGGUGGAAGCCAACAAUCUUCUACAGUUGGAGCAGUUGGACAGUCAACCACUGAAAGCCCUGACGCCCUACACUUCAGUGAAGCCCAAUAGACAAAGACCAUCGACUGUCCGAACCCCCCAGGAGGUAUCCCAUCCACCAGAACCAGUGAGUUCAGAUCAGUCUGAUUCUCUGUGUUCUGAGUCGGAGGGGGACCAGCUUGAGGAGCUAGAGGUUCUGCCCGACACCCAGACGUGGAUCCACCUGAUGUCCUCCAUUACCAACCACCCUCCAACUUUUCAUUACAUCAGCUAUAGCUACUGUUAUUGUCAAGUUGUCAUUAUCUGCUAAGAAAGUUUUCUUCAGUCCAGGCACUGCAAACACAGCAGUGCCUGGACUUUGCAGUCUCCCUCUUCAAGUCACCCUUUCCGAGACUGGCUGCCUGUUGAGAACAAGUGACAGGCAGAACCUCCCAUCCACACAGCAACCACGUCCUCAAUAUUCCACACACCAGAACUCAGUAUUUUAGUCUAUGAUUGCCAUGUGAGUGUACAAAAAAAUCUGUGAAAAUAAAUUAAUGACACAACUGUAGCAAAAAAGAUCAAAGUUUAUGUAUUAAAAUCUU